CAGUGAUCCAAGAUUGCACGACUGCACUCAGCCUGGGUGACACAGCAGGACUCUGUCUCAAAAAAGAAGAAAAAAAGAGGUUGCUAACUUGUGGAUUGAUGCCGUCCAUCUACAAGAUGGUCUUACAAAUGGAACCCCAAAUGAGUUCAAUUCAUAACUUCUACGAAGGACCCCUGGACUGACCUGCUGGCUCUUUGAGUGGCCUAGGGAGUUCCCCUCUGGAGGAUGCUACAACUGCAGGGACCCUUUUUCACCCUUGUCCAGCAGGAAGUAGUUACAGCUCUCAUCACCCAGUCCCCAACAGCAGUUGUGGUGUCCUAUGAAGAGGGGAUAUUGAGAGAAGAGGCCAGCUGGACUUCCUGGGUCGACUGGGGACUUGGGGAAAUUUUCUGUUUUACAAGAGGAUUGUAAAAUACACCAUUUAGGAGCUUUCCUGUCUUUCAGGAGGAUUGCAAAAUGCACCAAUCAGCACUCUGUAAAAUGCACUAAUCAGCACGCUGUAAAAGUCACCAAUCAGCGCUCUGUAAAAUACACCAAUCAGCAGGAUUCUAAAAGUAGCCAAUUGUGGGGAGGAUCAAAAAAAGGGCACUCUGAUAGGAUGGAAAUGGAAUAUGGGAAGGGCCAGUAAGGGAAUAAUAGAUGAGCACCCCAGCCAUCAGUGACAACCCACUAGGGUCCCCUUUCAUGCUAUGGAAGCUUUGUCCUUUUGCUCUUCACAAUAAACCUUGCUACUGCUCACUCUUUGGGUCCGUGCCAUCUCUAAGAACUGUAACACUCACCUCAAAGGUCUGCGGCUCCAUUCUUGAAGUCAGGGAGACCACGAACCCACCAGCAGAAACCAACUCCAGACACACUGUCAUCCCUUAAUCUCCCAUUUUCCUUGGAGUGACAUCAUUCACUGUUUUCCCUGGACAUCUCCCUGUCAUAUCAUCAUCAUUUUUUUUUUUUUAACCUAGAUUGACUCAGUCACCUUUUACUGUGUUCCCUGAAGUGAUUUUUUGGUCAACUGUUUUCCUUGAACUUAUUUGGUCAUGGACUCUUUUGCCUAGACUGACUGCGUCAUAGACUGUUUUCCCUGGCAUGAUUCAGCACUCAACUGUUUACCCUGGACAGAUUGCUCAUCAACUCUUUUUCCUGGAUUAACUCAGCAUUGACUGAGUUCCCUGAAUUGACUCGGUACUCAGUUCCUUUUCCUGGUUUGACUAUGUACUCAUUUCCCUAGACUGACUCAGUGCUCAACUCAUUUCCCUGGACUGACUCAGCAGGUCCUCAACUGUGUGCCCUGGACUGUGUGGUACUGGACUACUUCUUGGAUUGAGUCAGUCAUGGACUGUGUUUUCCAGACCAUGGGCAUCUUUGGCUGUCAUCCACCCUCAUCAACUGUUUUCCUUGGAGUGACUAUGUCUUUCACUAUUUUCCACAGUGGGGGCAUCUUCAUGCCAUCCUGUUAUCAG
rnacentral:lncRNA from 1 species